ACAGUGCAUUGUCCCUAAACAAUCCAUACUUGCCUCACUGACACCAUGUGGCCCACUUCCCAUCUAUAAUCUAUGUCUGGGUGUGAAGCCCUUCCCAUAUGAUCCCCCGAAUGGAACUUCACAAGUUUGAAUUCACUGGGUCACAGUGUGAUAGUGUGAACAUGGGACGACGUUAAGGGAAGGCUAUGGGUGAGUUGGGAAAUGUGUUAGGCAGGGUCAGAGAUUACCACAUCCUAAAAACAACACUUAAGGUGGGAGAUGACAAAACAAUCAAUGAAUAACAUGACUUUUUCCAGUGAAAGUGCCAUAUCUAAUCCUUUUCCAUUUUUGUUCUCUGAGCUUCUUUCUUAGGGAAGAUCCUUCUUGAGAAGCCCCUGCUGAGUAUUAGGAAAAUGCAUUUCAGGACCUCUCAUCAAGACGCCCUCUUUCUUUACCACAACCACAUAUAUGGGGGCAUAACUCAACAUGUGUAAAAGACAAUCUUCUGCUUUUCACUGAACCUCCAGGAAUUCAGGACAAUAAACCUCUACAUGCAGACCAA
rnacentral:antisense_RNA from 1 species